AACUCGCUGUGAAGAUGCAGUGUACCCGCGGCAAGACGGAAAGACCCCGUGAACCUUUACUAUAGCUUGACACUGAACAUUGAGCCUUGAUGUGUAGGAUAGGUGGGAGGCUUUGAAGUGUGGACGCCAGUCUGCAUGGAGCCGACCUUGAAAUACCACCCUUUAAUGUUUGAUGUUCUAACGUGGACCCGUGAUCCGGGUUGCGGACAGUGUCUGGUGGGUAGUUUGACUGGGGCGGUCUCCUCCUAAAGAGUAACGGAGGAGCACGAAGGUUGGCUAAUCCUGGUCGGACAUCAGGAGGUUAGUGCAAUGGCAUAAGCCAGCUUGACUGCGAGCGUGACGGCGCGAGCAGGUGCGAAAGCAGGUCAUAGUGAUCCGGUGGUUCUGAAUGGAAGGGCCAUCGCUCAACGGAUAAAAGGUACUCCGGGGAUAACAGGCUGAUACCGCCCAAGAGUUCAUAUCGACGGCGGUGUUUGGCACCUCGAUGUCGGCUCAUCACAUCCUGGGGCUGAAGUAGGUCCCAAGGGUAUGGCUGUUCGCCAUUUAAAGUGGUACGCGAGCUGGGUUUAGAACGUCGUGAGACAGUUCGGUCCCUAUCUGCCGUGGGCGCUGGAGAACUGAGGGGGGCUGCUCCUAGUACGAGAGGACCGGAGUGGACGCAUCACUGGUGUUCGGGUUGUCAUGCCAAUGGCACUGCCCGGUAGCUAAAUGCGGAAGAGAUAAGUGCUGAAAGCAUCUAAGCACGAAACUUGCCCCGAGAUGAGUUCUCCCUGACCCUUUAAGGGUCCUGAAGGAACGUUGAAGACGACGACGUUGAUAGGCCGGGUGUGUAAGCGCAGCGAUGCGUUGAGCUAACCGGUACUAAUGAACCGUGAGGCUUAACCUUACAACGCCGAAGGUGUUU
rnacentral:rRNA from 1 species